rnacentral:rRNA from 1 species
CAAUAGCGUAUAUUAAAGUUGUUGCAGUUAAAAAGCUCGUAGUUGGAUUUCUGAUCGAGACAUCAGGUCGGGUCCGAGAGGAUCAUGUACUUUGAUUUUGUUUUGAUCAUCCUUGGGGAGAGCAUUUCUGGCAUUCAGUUGUCGGGAUUGGGAUCCUCAUCGUUUACUGUGAAAAAAUUAGAGUGUUCAAAGCAGGCCUCGGCCUCUGAAUACAUUAGCAUGGAAUAAUAAGAUAGGACUUUGGUGGUCUAUUUUGUUGGUUUGCACGCCAAAGUAAUGAUUAAUAGGGAUAGUUGGGGGUAUUCGUAUUCAAUUGUCAGGGGUGAAAUUCUUGGAUUUAUGGAAGACGAACUACUGCGAAAGCAUUUACCAAGGAUGUUUUCAUUAA